GCGGAUGUGGUGAAAUUGGUAGACACGCUAGACUUAGGAUCUAGUGCCGCGAGGUGUGUGGGUUCGAGUCCCUCCAUCCGCACAA
rnacentral:tRNA from 1 species